GGGAGCGGGAGUGGGAGUGCUCAGUCUCUCGGGUCGCCUGGAUAUUUAUGAAAAGGACGCCAGGGAAAGGGCUCCGCUGUAGACCGAAGGGAUAAGGGUUCGAUUCAGAAGGGAGCGUUAUUUUUAUCCCCUCUCCACAUAAUGGAACGUUUAAAUGGUUAAAUCAAGUACCUUGCAGGAGAGGGUGGGGUGGCCUUGAGAAUACACUCAAGGCCUCAGUACAUGCAGUCUGGAAGUGGGGGAAUCAAGAGCACCCUGUCUCUAGUACUGUCCUCAAUGAUAAGGUGAGGAAAGCCAAACCCAGGACUGGGAACAGGGCCUGGUCCAGAGCCAGGCGCUUGUUUAUUCUUGACUCUGCUCUCAAGGCGCUGAGGUUCCCAACCUGGACCAAGAAGUACAUAUUCAGGUUCAAAGGAUAAACCAAAACAAAACCUGAGCUCUCUCUCUAGAAUGAAGUGCCUGGUCCCAGUUCACCAUCUAAUAUUUAUGGAAAGCUUAUCAGAGAACAGAAGUGUCAGCAGAGGACUGUAAGUGCUAUGUGAUUGGACGACGGUGGCCAUAGAAUUUCACCUGCCCAGCACGUAUUCUCUCAUCCUCUCCUCCUCUGCCUUCUUUGGGCUAAAGAAGAAAAAUCACAUGACUAUAUCAGCGGAUGAAGAAAAAGUGUUUGACAAAAUCCAACUCUCAUUCAUGAGCAAAACCCCAAAUAAUCGAGACAUACAGGAUAACUUCCUCAUCUUGGUAAAUAAUAUCUUCAAAAGAAAUACAGCUAACAUGAUAGUCAAUGGUUGGAAAUUUGAAGCUUUCUUUCUAAGAGCAGGAACAAAGUAAGAAUGUCCCCUCUCACCAUUGCUUUCUACAUUUUACUGGAAGUCUUAGAUAAUUCUAUAGGACAAUAAAAAUGUAAGUAUACAGAUUAAGAAGGAAUACAUGCAAUUGUCUUCGUUCACAAAUGACAAGAUCUAUGUUAAAAAAUCCAAAAGAGUCAACAAAAAAUACCUCCUGGAACUAAUAAAUGAUUAUAACAAGGUUUUAGAAUAGAAGGUUAAUGGCCGG
rnacentral:lncRNA from 1 species